GACGAACGCUGGCGGCGUGCUUAACACAUGCAAGUCGAACGGAAAGGCCCUGCUUUUGUGGGGUGCUCGAGUGGCGAACGGGUGAGUAACACGUGAGUAACCUGCCCUUGACUUUGGUAUAACUUCAGGAAACUGGGGCUAAUACCGGAUAGGAGCUCCUGCUGCAUGGUGGGGGUUGGAAAGUUUCGGCGGUUGGGGAUGGACUCGCGGCUUAUCAGCUUGUUGGUGGGGUAGUGGCUUACCAAGGCUUUGACGGGUAGCCGGCCUGAGAGGGUGACCGGCAACAUGGGGACUGAGAUACGGCCAAGACUCCUACGGGAGGCAGCAGUGGGGAAUAUUGAAAAAUGGGCGGAAGCCGGAGGCAGAAACGCCGCGUGCGGGAUGACGGCCUUCGGGUUGUAAACCGCUUUCGCCUGGGACGAAGCGUGAGUGACGGUAAUGGGUAAAGAAGCACCGGCUAACUACGUG
rnacentral:rRNA from 1 species